rnacentral:rRNA from 1 species
CCUACGGGAGGCAGCAGUGGGGAAUAUUGCACAAUGGGGGAAACCCUGAUGCAGCGACGCCGCGUGAGUGAAGAAGUAAUUCGUUAUGUAAAGCUCUAUCAGCAGGGAAGAAAAUGACGGUACCUGAGUAAGAAGCCCCGGCUAACUACGUGCCAGCAGCCGCGGUACUACGUAGGGGGCAAGCGUUAUCCGGAUUUACUGGGUGUAAAGGGAGCGUAGACGGCAGUGCAAGUCUGGAGUGAAAGGCGGGGGCUCAACCCCCGGACUGCCCUGGAAACUGUACGGCUGGAGUGCAGGAGAGGUAAGUGGAAUUACUAGUGUAGCGGUGAAAUGCGUAGAUAUUAGGAGGAACACCAGUGGCGAAGGCGGCUUACUGGACUGUAACUGACGUUGAGGCUCGAAAGCGUGGGGAGCAAACAGGAUUAGAUACCCCAGUAGUC